ACCGUUACGGGGGAAGCGGAUUGCAUUAUUCUAGUUUUAACGUGUUCAACCUUUUAGGUGCAUUGACGUUAAAACUUAUCUGCUGUGGAUUUUUGAUAAUUGAAAAUGAAUUAUUAAAGAUUGAGGGCUCCACUUUGUGUGAGGACAGCGGAUUGACGAUGCGAUACGACCCGUCUUGAAACACGGACCAAGGAGUCUAGCGCGGGUGCGAGUCGGAAGGUGUAAAAACCUGUGGGCGAAGUGAAAGCGAGAUAAAACUCUCAGUUUGAGGCGGCAUAUUUUCGUUGAAAAUAGGUCCGACCUUGAGCAGUUGCGCUGGGACCCGAAAGAUGGUGAACUAUGCCGGAGUAGGGCAAAGCCAGAGGAAACUCUGGUGGAGGCUCGUAGCGGUGCUGACGUGCAAAUCGCUCGUCGAACUUGGGUAUAGGGGCGAAAGACUAAUCGAACCAUCUAGUAGCUGGUUUCCUCCGAAGUUUCUCUCAGGAUAGCGGGCCGACAUAGUGUUGUUUUGUGCGGUAAAGCGAAUGAUUAGCGUAUUUGGGGACAUUUUGUCUUCAGACGAUUCUCAAACUUUCAAUGCGCAAGGGUGUUGCUGCUUAAUUGAGCUUCACCGGUAAAAACGUCGGCCCUGUGGGCCACUUUUGGUAAGCA
rnacentral:rRNA from 1 species